rnacentral:lncRNA from 1 species
AGACACUGACUCUGUUGGCGCCUUAAUCUUGGACUUCCCAGGCUCCAGAACUCUAAGAAACAAAUUUCUGUUGUUUGUAAGCCACUCAGUCUAUGAUAUUCUGUUACAGCAGCAUGAACUGAAGCAAUAACCAUCCUAAAUAGAUCAUUUUCAUGCUUUCUGUGGCUCCAGGACACUGACUAUGUUGGGGACAAGUGAAGAGGAACCUCCAGCCUCACAUCUGCUGCUCCUACAAGUAACCCUAGUGACACCAAAAGCAAUAGCAAGUGUUUCCUGUACCUAAGCUGGGCAAUGCUGGUCUUCAGUGAUGGUGCUGAAUUGUUCUAACAGUUCCUGUUAGAGGUGGAAGAAUAUUUGCUGCAAUGCCCAGAGAUGAACAUGUUUAAACACAACAAAACAUGAAGGAUCAAAGCCUGAGUCAUGUGUCUUACCCACUGAACGUGUGGUUUGUCUGCCUGCUGGAGAGAGGGAAACGUCAAAGGAAGCAGGCUGCCAUUUAUAUUCUGGAGACGAACCCACUCAGAAGGAAGAGCCUCAGGGAUGCUUUCUCCUCUACCUCAAGGCAGCAGAGGAAUGAGAUUUCUGUUUUCUUCUUUAUCUCUCAUGAUGUUUCCAGUCACCUCAUAGGGUAGCUGCGCAGUCUAGCACAGCCUGCCCCUUCCACAGAGGAGUUUUGGAGGCGUUGGAAGGGGUCGGGCACUGCUGUGCAGGCUCCGUGUCCUUGUAGGAUUGGUGUGAGGACGCAGUCUCAGUUUGCUGUCUGAGCAGACCCUGGAGGCGGCAUGACUACCUGACAGCUCACACACAGGUCAGUGGAGCAGAAAGGAUGCAGGCCCCUGGGGUCAAAAGAAUUGGGUUCUAAGAGUCACUGAGUCAUUAACUGAUUGAA